rnacentral:rRNA from 1 species
GUGAGGUCCGGGCAUGCGGUGGUGGGAGUACGGGGGGGGCAAGCGUGGGUCGGAAUUUGUGGGCGUAAAGCGAAUGGAGGUGGCUUAGUAAGUCGAAUGGUAAAGCCCCGGGCUCAAGUCGGGAACUGCAUCCGAAACUACUUUGCUAGAGUCCCGGAGGGGAAGGCAGAAUUCCCAAUGUAGGGGUGAAAGCCGUAGAUAUUGGGAGGAAUACCGGUGGCGAAGGCGGCCUUCUGGACGGUGACUGACACUCAGAUGCGAAAGCGUGGGGAGCAAACAGGAUUAGAUACCCUGGUAGUC